GACGAACGCUGGCGGCGUGCCUAAUACAUGCAAGUCGAACGCAGUGGGGACGGGUGAGUAACACGUGGGUAACCUCCCAUCAGAGGGGAUAACACUUGGAAACAGGUGCUAACCCGAUACCGAUGGAUGGACACGGGUGGCAUUAGCUAGGUGGGGAGGUAACGGCUCACCAAGGCCACGAUGCAUAGCCGCCCGGAGAGGGUGAUCGGCCACACUGGGACGGAGACUGGGCCCAGACUCAUACGGGCGGCAGCGGUGGGGAAUCUUCGGCAAGGGACGAAAGUCUGACCGAGCAACGCCGCGUGAGUGAAGAAGGUUUUCGGAUCGUAAGACUCUGUUGUUAGAGAAGCGGUAUCUAACCAGAAAGCCACGGCUAACUACGUGCCAGCAGCCGCGGUAAUAC
rnacentral:rRNA from 1 species